GAUGAAGAACGUAGUGAAAUGCGAUAAGUAGUGUGAAUUGCAGAAUUCAGUGAAUCAUCGAAUCUUUGAACGCACAUUGCGCCCGCCAGUAUUCUGGCGGGCAUGCCUGUUCGAGCGUCAUUUCAACCCUCAAGCCCCCGGGCUUGGUGUUGGGGAUCGGCGUGCCCUCGCGGCGCGCCGUCCCCUAAAUCUAGUGGCGGUCUCGCUGUAGCUUCCUCUGCGUAGUAGCAACACUCGCACUGGAUCGCAGCGCGGCCACGCCGUUAAACCCCCCACUUCUGAAAGUUUGACCUCGGAUCAGGUAGGAAUACCCGCUGAACUUAAGCAUAUCAAUAAGCGGAGGA
rnacentral:misc_RNA from 1 species